CAAAAAUCAACUUUAUCUAGCUAUCGUCUAGCGAAUCGGAAUUCGACUUGUGUCUACAAUCAGAUUGCAAAUGGUUGGGUUGAUUCAAUACAUGAUGUUGGGGUGAUUUGAUAUCGUCAGUGCUUUCCUUUCUAAUGACGAGAAAGGUGAAGAAAAGCCGCAUGUGAAGACCACAGGUUUACGACAUUUACCUUUGUGGUCAUUCGAAACUACUUCGUAGUGUUUGAGUUAUAAUUUAUAAAUGGAUAACAAAUUCAUAGGAUGAACCUGUUAGGUGUUUGUGAUGUUUGCUUCUUUGGAAUUCAGCCACCCGUGUUCAGUUAACAAUCUUAAUUUUGAUUUUUAAUGAAUUUCCUCUCUAAAUUAUUUGUGAUAGCAGUUUAGGAUAGUUUUUGAACAAUUAUUUCAAACUGUUAAAUAGAAAUAGAACUGAAGCAAAGUGUUUCUCACACAUUGAUAUGUAUUAUGUAUGUGAUUUAUAUACACAACACAUUACAUGAUCAUAAUAUGAACAGGUACAAGGAAAUGAUAAAGCUCUUACAAAUGGAA